rnacentral:rRNA from 1 species
CCUACGGGUGGCAGCAGUGAGGAAUAUUGGUCAAUGGGCGCGAGCCUGAACCAGCCAAGUAGCGUGAAGGAUGACUGCCCUACGGGUUGUAAACUUCUUUUGCCGGGGAGCAAGGGCGGGGACGUGUCCCGGCCCGGAGAGUACCCGGAGAAAACGCAUCGGCUAACUCCGUGUCAGCAGCCGCGGUAAUACGGGGGAUGCGAGCGUUAUCCGGAUUAAUUGGGUUUAAGGGGUGCGUAGGCGGGCUUUUAAGUAAGCGGUAAAAAUUCGGGGCUCAACCCCGGCCGGCCGGUGAAACUGGGGGCCUUGAGUGGGCGAGAAGAAGGCGGAAGGCGUGGUGUAGCGGUGAAAUGCAUAGAUAUCACGCAGAACCCCGAUUGCGAAGGCAGCCUUCCGGCGCCCUACUGACGCUGAGGCACGAAAGUGCGGGGAUCGAACAGGAUUAGAUACCCGGGUAGUC